UACGUAGGGUGCGAGCGUUAAUCGGAAUUACUGGGCGUAAAGUGUGCGCAGGUGGCCGCGCAAGUCGAGUGUGAAAUCCCCGAGCUUAACUUGGGAAUUGCGCUCGAAACUACGUGGCUCGAGUGUGGCAGAGGAAGGUGGAAUUCCACGUGUAGCGGUGAAAUGCGCAGAUAUCAGGAAGAACACCAAUGGCGAAGGCAGCUCUCUGGGACGGUACUGACGCUGAGACGCGAAAGCGUGGGGAGCGAACAGG
rnacentral:rRNA from 1 species